UGGUUUCUUCCCUUCUUCUUACAGAUUUCGGUAAUGAAGGAGCGAAAUAAAAGCAAAAGCAUUGAAAUAAAUAAGAAGUUACAGAGAAAGCUAAGAGCCAUGUCUAGACUUUAUUAUACCACUAGAUGAAAGACACCGUAUUUUAAUGUGAUUACUAAAAAUCUGAAGAGUAAGCUACCAUAAAGAUAGCCUAAAUUACUGAGGUAGUAGCACGGUGAGAAUGGAGCUUUGAUUUCAACCGGAGUGGCCCAGAUUUGAAACCCGUGGGCGUCGAUUAAAUGUGGAGACCGGAUGCCCUCCUAUCUGGUGAAGUCGUGCCAUUAUUUAGGCGGUGCUGGUGUGAUGUAUUCAUACGGAGAUAGCAGGUGGGGCUCUGCCACAGAUGAAGAGAGUAUGAGUAAAAAAUAUUCCACCCGCAUCGAACACUCUCCAGUGGGGAGGGAGCUCAGUGAAGGUUGCUAAGCAGGUGAGAUUCUUCUCACCCCCUCUUUACCCUUUUUUUUUUUUAAAAAAAAAA
rnacentral:lncRNA from 1 species